rnacentral:lncRNA from 1 species
AAAGUGUUAUUUGACUGGAGUGAGGUCUCAUGUCUGCUUAUGCGGUGGCUCGCUGCUCAGAACAGGAUGGCAGAGAUGAGCACCACCAUCAAAAACUCAAGGACCAGUGCUGUGGGUCCAGUCAUCUGUUUCAUGGAAUUCACCAGUCUGGUAUCUUCAAAAUCCAGAAGGAUGAUGGCAGAUGGCAGGAAGGAACCAUUGGAGAUACUCAUUACUCUUUGAAGGCUUACAGUGGAAUGAAUUCAAAUACGACUUAUUUGAGGAAUUGAAGUUGACUUUAUGGAGCUGAUAAGAAUCUUCUUGGAGAAAAAAAGACUGGGUAUAUUUUCAAUAUGCUUUCCUUUUAAGGUCCCUCACCUGUGGAAAGUAAAGAAUGUCACUUUCUGACAGGCUCAGGAACCUCAAGUUAUGUAGGGAUCUCAAGAAGAUGGGGGAAUUCACCCAGUUCAUACAGGUGAAAUUGCUGUUGCAAAGAUUAUGAAUAUGAGAGAAGUCCAGCAUGGCUGACUUCAUCUCGUGUCUGGCCUCAGGCUGGCUGCCCUUGCUCACUCUUGGGCAUAGGCCAAGCUAGCCAUGGGAGGAAUUUAGUUUAUAGUUUAACUUUGAAGCACGGAUGAUAAUAGUCUCUCCCUAAAAUGAACCCCUUCCUUGCUCAGGGACUGAAACUACCUUUGUAUGACAAAUGAAAGCCCACAAGAUUAAGAUUAUGAGAGGGGCCUGAAUUCUGCUAAAAUGCAGGUGUAGCUGACUGAUAACAAGUCAUUGUCCCACAGCUUGCCUUUCUAUAAUCUCUUGCUUCUCAGGAGUCACAUGGCCAGAGGUCCUGAGAUUUCCAGUCCUGUGACCCCCACCCAGAGAUGGACUUAGUGCAUGAGGACCAUUUUCCACACCCCUAUGAUUUCAUCCUCAAACAAUCAGCAGCAACCAUUCCCUAGCCCCCUGCCUUCCAAAUUAUCCAUAAAAAUCCUAGCCUCUGAGUUAUUAGGGAGAUUGAUUAAUAAUCCCAGUCCUACCCCUUGGGUUGCUCUGAUUUAAUUAAACCUUCUCUACUGCAAUACCACGGACUCAGUAAAUUGGUUUUGUCUGUGCAAUGGGCAAGAAGAACAUGUUGCAUGGUUAUACAGGUACUACAAGCACAGUCUGAUGGCAAAUUAUUGGUUUUGCUUCCUGCCCUUGAUGUUUCUAAACAUCUAGUCCAAAAUUACUUGUGAAAGGUCCAGCAAAGCCAAUUUUAAAAGAGGCUAUAUGGCCAAUCACUAUUCUUUCUACACAUUAUUGCAAAUAAUCAGGCCACGGCUGGGCACGGUGGCUCAUGCCUGCAAUCCCAGCACUUUGGGAGGCUGAGGCAGGAUCACCUGAAAUCAGGAGUUCAAGACCAGCCUAGGCAACAUGAUAAAACCCUGUCUCUACUAAAAAUACAAAAUUAGCCAGGCAUGGUGGCAUGCACCUGUAAUCCCAGCUACUUGGGAGACUGAGGGAGGAGAAUCACUUGAACCUGGGAGGCAGAGAUUGCAGUGAGCUGAGAUCACACCACUGCACUCCAGCCUGGGCAAUAGAGUGAGACUUUGUCUCAAAUAAUAAUAAUAAUAAUCAGACCAAGUAUAAUGAAAUUAAAAUUUAUUUUGCAAAUAAAUUGGUCCUACUACAAUUUAUCCUUCAUAGAAAUGUGGAAACUGAAGAUAAAAAAAAUUAGGUUUCAGAAGAAAACUAUACUACACCUGUUAUUAGAUUCUAGCCCUAAACAUUGUUUUUGAGGUUUUUAUUAUUUACCUGCAAUUUGGUCUAAAUUCUGAAUUAUUUCCUGACUACAAGUAUCCAAGGAAUAAAUGGGUUUUCUUUUUCUUUAUGAUAGUUUUAGUUGGCUUCUAAUGCAACAACAAUUUUUAUUGUAAUCCUGUGUGCAUUCUAUUCCUACUAUUCAAAUUAUUAAUGUUAUAGAUCUUUCAUUGUAGUACUUCUGAAUUAACCAAAAUCACAGUAUUCUGAAGAUGAUUCUACAAAGCCUGCUGUUUCUACAAAGGCUGCUGAUGAUUUCUACAAAGCCUGCUGUAGUGUUGCUGUGGCCUCUGCUUAAAAAAGUAGAAAACACAUUGAUGCAGCAUGUUCACCCCAACCUCCCUGCCUAAAGGCUCAGGGACCAUCUUGGAAGAGGAAGGCGCGUGAGAUUGUAAGAGCCGAAUUAGGGGGAUGGAGUGUGGAGAAUAAGGACACUUCAUCUUGGAUGCUCACCUGCCAAAUUGACUUCUGAUGAAAGCCAGCUCCAGAAAUGUGCCUACAGUUACUACUUUCACCUAAACCCUGCCCUUAGUCAAAUCCUUCUCUUCUUCUAAGCAAUCAACUUCAAUUCCUUGUAUAACCCACAGUAUAAAAGGGCUUUUAUACCAUUCUAUCCUAUUGCAUGUAAGCCUUGGGUCUGGGAGGUAACAGUGUGGGAUUCCACCAUCUCAUCUCCCUGCCACCCAAACAUGCCUGCUCUUCUUUAAGCAAUAUUAAAUGUUUGUACUUCAGAAA